CCUACGGGCGGCAGCAGUGAGGAAUAUUGGUCAAUGGACGAGAGUCUGAACCAGCCAAGUAGCGUGAAGGAUGACUGCCCUAUGGGUUGUCAACUUCUUUUAUAUGGGAAUAAAAUGUUCCACGUGUGGGUUUUUGUAUGUACCUUAUGAAUAAGGAUCGGCUAACUCCGUGCCAGCAGCCGCGGUAAUCCGGAGGAUCCGAGCGUUAUCCGGAUUUAUUGGGGUUAAAGGGAGCGUAGGUGGAUUGUUAAGUCAGUUGUGAAAGUUUGCGGCUCAACCGUAAAAUUGCAGUUGAAACUGGCAGUCUUGAGUACAGUAGAGGUAGGCGGAAUUCGUGGUGUAGCGGUGAAAUGCUUAGAUAUCACGAAGAACUCCGAUUGCGAAGGCAGCUCACUGAACUGCAACUGACACUGAGGCUCGAAAGUGUGGGUAUCAAACAGGAUUAGAUACCCUGGUAGUC
rnacentral:rRNA from 1 species